UGGGGAAUUUUGGACAAUGGGGGCAACCCUGAUCCAGCCAUGCCGCGUGAGUGAAGAAGGCCUUCGGGUUGUAAAGCUCUUUCGGCGGGGACGAAACGGUCCGUGACAACACCACGGACUAAUGACGGUACUCGCAGAAGAAGCACCGGCUAACUACGUGCCAGCAGCCGCGGUAAUACGUAGGGUGCAGGCGUUAAUCGGAAUUACUGGGCGUAAAGCGUGCGCAGGCGGCUCCUUAAGUCAGAUGUGAAAUCCCCGGGCUUAACCUGGGAACUGCGUUUGAAACUGGGGAGCUAGAGUGUGGAAGAGGGGGGUGGAAUUCCAGGUGUAGCAGUGAAAUGCGUAGAGAUCUGGAGGAACACCGAUGGCGAAGGCAGCCCCCUGGGCUAACACUGACGCUCAUGCACGAAAGCGUGGGGAGCAAACAGGAUUAGAUACCCCAGUAGUCCCUGAGCGGGCUGGCAAGGCGCAU
rnacentral:rRNA from 1 species